rnacentral:misc_RNA from 1 species
CCAUUGCUGAAAAGAACUCCAUCUGGCUUCAUCUUUAGAGUUUCUAAUGCUGGCCACUUUGAAGGGACCACAGUGAUUUUACAGCCAUAAGAUGCUAAGCGUCUCAGUAUAUUGUGCUUAAUCCCAAAAUCAUAUGCGACAACAUGGUAAAUCUCUCGUCCGUUGGAGUUAAAAUCCCACUCGGGCUUUGUUUUAUCAACCCAUUCAUAAGGGGC